CGCGGAAGAAUUCCACCAUCCAGCAGGCGAGGGACGAUUCCGACGCGAGUGAAGAUCCCUGGUUGCAACACCAGCAUUGCCCGACAGCAGAACGGGAUUCCCACCAAUUGAGAAACCCCCAGCAUGGCUCCUGCAACCCCGCAGAUGAUUGAAACCCUCACCGCACGAUCGAUUGUUUGUCCUGCUGCUGUCAGUCACCGGUGUGUAUCUUUUACUGACUGAACUGAUGAGCUUCUGUCUCUGCGUGUCAAUGGUGCUGAGGUUUACACAGAGGUGAUGUACACACUCUCAUCUCAGCAGUUCUCAGAGGAAACACAGCUCCUUGCAACUUCCUCUGAAUGAUGGACACUGAACGCCUUCUCUUCCGUCACACACAUAUCAGUUUCAAGUCUGAACUAUGUUACCUGUUAUGUCUAGGGUCGAGGUGUAACAAAGUAUAAGCAAAAACAAAAAUGAGGUUGACACACGUCUUUCAAAUCUUUGAAAUCUUACAAAUUUAAUGACUACAAGAAAAGAAAAAAGAAACAAUCCAAAACAAUCACGAAGAAAGCAAAUCAAUUCAGGGCUGGGCAAGGCCAAAAUAAUA